AAUAUUUUAAAAAGAAACUUUAAGGGCCUCCCCUGGUGGCGCAGGCGAUUAAACACAUUGCUGUGAAGCUGUCUGCAGCCUUUGCAGCGCCAGUUCGAUCCCCGCUGGCUGGGGAGGGUCCCACAUGGCAGGGCAGACUGCUCCUGUCUCGCCUGCUGCUCCCCUCAGCAGCGUAUUUCGUCAGUCUGCCUGUUCUGUUCGCCAUUCUGUCUCUGCUGAAUCCUCUCACCCUCCUGCACAUCUGGCCCGUUCCCCGGUUCUUGUAUAAAUAAAUAAAUCUUAAAAAAAAACUUUAAUAUUUAUUCCUCUAGCCCUGUUAUAGGGCAGCCCCGAUACAAAACGGGGUGCCUGACUGUGGGUCCUCACUCGCGCGCUUAAAAGGACUUAUCAAUGCUCUACUACAGGCACACAGGAAAGGUUAAUAAAAGGUUUAUUUACAAGGGAAGGGCAAAUGAGGAAAUGUACAACUCAGGGAGAAAAGUGGGAGACAAAGUUUUAAAUGCGUCCUACCCAAUCCUCCCAUCUGGAAUCCCAAAUGGCACACUGAGAGCUGGCCGCAAGCCAGGAGCCGUGAAGCCAGGAGGUGAGCGAGAGAGCGAGCCCCCCAAGGCCCACGUGUCUGGUUUUUAUACCAAACCUGGCUGCUUAACUUCACCCUCAGGUCCUAGCCACCUUCCCUUUGGUGGUGAUGGGAUUUGUCUUUCCCGAUGUCUUGAUGGCUUUGGUCUGGAGUGGGGGUGGGGUCCACAAAGCCUGCAUGGAAUUAGCUCAGGACAUCCUUUCCCCCUAACAGCCCCACCAUUUUUUUAAUCACCAAACUAGUAACAUUAACUUUAGUGUUCUGCUACUGACCUACUGGCUCUUAUGUUUACUUUGUACUGCUGAAGUGAAAACUUGAUAAAACUACUGGUAGUAUGGAAUAGUCAUUCCAGUUUGGACAAUCGAUAUAAGGUAAUUUUAUAAGUGACUAAUCUGUAUUCACUUUUGAAACAUACCAUAGUGAUUAAUCACAUGCUAUUGUAUAUGUGGGAAGGUUAUGGCAUAGUUACUUGUUAUGUUUGUUACCUAUGUUUUACUAAUUCCAGGGCCAUCUUGUCCUUUAGUUUAUUGUGAUGCUAAGCAAUAUGCCAUAUUUUGAGUAAAAUUUUCUUAGAGAAGCAUAGUUCCUGUUUAUGAAGAAUUUUGUUAUAAAGUGAGAACAAUUCCAAAAGCCACAUCUAGAAAUUCUAUAUUACAUCAUGAUCUGUUCAUUAUUACACCUUGUGCAUCAUUUAUGCUCUCUAUAAAUCUAGAAUUAUUCAUAGUUGGUUUAGGUAAUAAUUUUUAAGAAAAUUUCACAGGAUGGUAAUAAUUAAAAGGUGGUAUAUUUUAUUAGUAAUGAUCAAGUGGAAGGAAGUUACAUCAUUUCAAAGACAUGUUCUUCUGAUCCUCCACAGGGCCAUUUCUUUUGCGGCAUUAUAACGGAUUACUCUAGGUUUUAAAAAUUGUUUCCCUUUCUACUGCGGUGUAAGGGAAAUUUGUUUCCAGUUUAUGGACCUGCCCAUUACCUGCUUUUAUGUGCAAGACUUUCCCCUGGAUUAGAAGAAACUGGAGGAUGAAUCUAAGUGCGAAAUAAAAUAAUGAUUUGGAAUGAUUUAUGCAGUUCUUUCUCCAUGUUGGAACUACUUUGUUAUCGCUGUUUUUCUGUAUAUAAUUUCAGUAGAAAAUAUAUUCCAUUUUCAAAAUAAGACAUUUGUCUUUAUAAGUUAGCUUAUUUAAUACCUGACUUUGUUGUCCUUAAUUUAUGACACUGAAAUUGGUUGCUGUGGAAAUGUUUUCAAAACCUUAGAUUUAUGGUAUGUGCAAAGUAUAUCAGAGAAUC